UCAUGCCCAUGUGACCAGACUCGAGUAGGCGGAGCCAGUCUGGAGUCUGCAAGAAGCACAGUUGAUUUCCCGGGAUUUUGAGUUGUUUGAUCUGGUGAGGACAAGGGUAGAAGCAGGUGCAUGGUCUGGUCAUAUCAGAGGCAGACAACAAUAGGGGUUGACGCGCGUUACCAGAAAGAUACCUGGUGGUGAUGUUUCCUGAGAACAUCGAGCCUUAGGGAAAACGCUAAAGAAUGGAUAUUGUAUGAAAGGUUUCAGUUGGCUUCUUACAUUUGCUUUCUUGAAGAUUGAAUGGAUCAUGUCACCUCGUUCACAACAUAUGCUUAUAUUCUGUAAUUUUUUUUUUACCAUUGUUAUGCACUUGUCAUCUUAAUUUUUAUUUCGUUAUGCACUUGUAUUGAGCAUCUCUUUAACCCCUUAACGACAUGUGACGUAAAUUUGCGUCAACAUGACAGUAAGAAGAUAUGGAGCUGUUGCAGAUUAUGUGUAAGUAACCAUAGGAAGAAAACAAAAUGAUGU